rnacentral:snRNA from 1 species
AGCUUUGCGAGUGGCAGUACCGUAGCCAAUGAGGUUUAUCCGAGGCACGAUUAUUGCUAAUUGAAG